rnacentral:rRNA from 1 species
AUUGAACGCUGGCGGCAUGCCUUACACAUGCAAGUCGAACGGCAGCACGGGGGCAACCCUGGUGGCGAGUGGCGAACGGGUGAGUAAUACAUCGGAACGUGCCCAGUAGUGGGGGAUAGCUCGGCGAAAGCCGGAUUAAUACCGCAUACGACCCACGGGUGAAAGCGGGGGAUCGCAAGACCUCGCGCUAUUGGAGCGGCCGAUGUCAGAUUAGGUUGUUGGUGGGGUAAAAGCCCACCAAGCCGACGAUCUGUAGCUGGUCUGAGAGGACGACCAGCCACACUGGGACUGAGACACGGCCCAGACUCCUACGGGAGGCUG